CAUUUCUUUCUUAUUUUCCCGGCGUCUUAAUUAUCACCAGCGGGAUGGACAGGAAGAAAAGUCUGGAAGACACAUUUAGGAACUUUGUCAUCGAUGCAGUUGUUUCCUGAUAACGGAUGGAGUGCCUGCUGUAUUGAGAUUAUGGGUGUGGGCCACAGUGCCCAGCCAGAUGUAUCUUCUAAUCCACCAAGGGAAUCUGAACUGUUAAUUAAUUGUUAAUUGUUAAAACAUUGCUGGGCAAAAUAGCCCCGACAUGCCGCUUGAAGCACCUGGGCAGCUCAGACAUGAACUUCCUAAACCAUGAAAAACAAGACAACAAAGAGGAUGGAAGACAGGGAGGAAAAAGUCAUCAAAGGAAAGCAGCGAGAAACCGAGAAACUGGUGUGUACUGGAUCAGAGUGAAUAAGCAGAUGUGGUUGGAAGCAUACUAUUGAUGAAAAUCACCUCAGCUAAUAGACGUAGCUCAACCAAAACAUUGGCUUACACAAUUUGCUGGAAUUCUCUGUCUUCCACUAGCGGGCUUCAGCAGAAGAUCUGAACUCUCAGCUCCUCCUGCACCAUGCCUGUCUGGAUGCUGCCAUGCUGUCACCUUGAUGAUAAUGGACUGAACCUCUGAACCUGUAAGCCAGCCCCAAUUACAUGUUGUCCUUAUAAGAGUUGCCUUGGUCAUGGUGUCUGUUCACAGCAGUGAAACCCUAGCUAAGAGAGUGAAUUCAGAUGUAGAAAUCUCCUUCAUCAGCAUCAUGUCUGCCUGCACGCUGCCGUGCUUUCCUCCGUGAUGACACGGAUUGAUCCUCUGAAACUGUAAACCAGCCCCAAUCAAACGCUUUUUAAUACAAGAGUUGCCAUGGUAAUGUGUUUCUUCAUAGCAAUAGGUCGCUAAGACCAGUGGUGUCUUGUUUUCCUGGUUAUUCAUGUUUCUUAGAGUCUUUUGUAGUUAUCUGUACAUUUGCACAAGAGAUUCUUUCCUCCAGGGUUUAUCAACUAUCUCUGACAUAGUGAUUAACUUUACCUCUGAGCUGGGGUGCAUUAAAGCAUACUUUGACUCUAAACCUAGUGAGCCAGGGCACGUGUGGAGGCUUUCAGUUCAGAGGGUAAUGAAUGUGUCUAUCAGCUCACACAGCUGGUAUCCAAAGUGUUGACAACUUGGCAGUCCUAUGCUGCGAGGACUGUUAGGGAUCCAGUGGCAAGGGCAGCAAUGGAGACAUGGGACACUCAGAUGCGUACACUUGGCCUCAAAGGCCAGCUGCAGGUAUCUGCUGGGUGACAAGUUUGGUGGCAGGCAAGUGCACAGCGGGAAAGUUUAGAGCACGAGAGGCUCAGAAGCCAUAGCUUGUAAAGGCAAAUAAAGACUCUUGGCUACAGAUUAAUGGAGUCCUCUUUGGAGCAAUGUUUUAAUUCUGUCACAUUAAAUAUUGUGAGUCCUCAGUGGUGAAAGUGUGAGGAGUUUGCAGCAGCUCCUGGGUCUGUUAAGUUUCCAGCAAAGAUGGCUCCAGAGUCCUCUUCUGAGGAGACUCUAAGGACAGCCAAGUCACAUACUCUAUUGCUGUCUCUUUUGCUCCGAGCUAUUUCCAGAUGCAUACUAUGCCAUUCUUCCUUAGUGAUCUGGGGAGAUCACCAGGCGAGUCUUUGAAAAGGUGUUCUGAAAGUUUGUGGGAUAUGGCUGUUCACCCAGCCUUUCUUUUUCUUAAGAGGGCAGUUCAUGGGCUGGUUAGUUUCUUCUCAGCCAGGGUAGUGAUGGGUUGGGGAGAGGUGUGUGAGUCAGGCAAAAUGAACCAUUUGCCCAUUGUUUUGAGGCAUUUUACUUGGGCGUUCUUCCUCCACCGUAUGCCUAUAUCUUUUACAAUGAUCACCCCCCAGUACUUCCAGAGAUAUUUACCUUCCUCGAUAGUUCAUUUGGUGGGGAGGGAGGAUGUUGUAAAAUCUGAUAUCUUACUCCAAUGUAUUGCUGUCAUCGAUUGCUACUGCCUGAUUGGAAAGCGUGACUCUAAAUCCCAGCCCUGCCUAUAACUCCAGUUUCAGUGAGUUUGGCACCCUCUCUUGGUCUUUAAAGCUCUUGCACAUACUCUCUUGUACACGUGCUCAUAAACUCAUGCAGGCUCGAACAGGUUCACAUAACUG
ensembl:lincRNA G730013B05Rik RIKEN cDNA G730013B05 gene